UUUCCGUAGGUGAACCUGCGGAAGGAUCAUUAAUAAUAAGUGAUUUAUGGAACUUUUUGUAAUCCAUCUCCCUCUCGUGCGCAAUGACAGGGUUGAUUUUUCUCUCGUGAGGACUAGCUCCAAACUUCAACUUUAUCUCAAUUUUUUGUGUGAAAAACUCUAUGUCUAAAAAAAUAUAAAACAUAAUUUUAAACAACGGAUAUUUAGGCUCUCGUGACGACGAAGAACGUAGACGAGCGCAACAGCACACGUUUGUACUCCGGUCACGAUUCGUCACUU
rnacentral:misc_RNA from 1 species